AAAACUUUUCGACGGUUAUAUAAACGAAAAAUCACGAUUUAACGGUCAUUUUAACUCCGAUUUUGAUGAUUUUUUACAACUACACUCCUUGACCCUAUAUGAAUACAAUGAUUUAAUUCGAUCUUCAAUUUAAAAUAUUUACACUAGUAGAAACCACAAAAUCUUAUGUUAUACUUAAUAAAAGUAUGAAUAAACUUUUAAGUAUUAGUGAAUCUAUUGUUUUGAUGGGAUACUCAUUCUACGAAACUAGUUUCAAUGAUCCAACCAUCAAACAUGUUUGUAUAUAUUUCGAGAUCGCAUACGCCAAAAAUUGCAAAAAACAAACAUUCAGAGAUCACGUAACGGGACAAAACUUUUCGACGGUUAUAAACGAAAAAUCACGAUUUAACGGUUAAUUUAACUCCGAUUUU
rnacentral:lncRNA from 1 species